rnacentral:lncRNA from 1 species
AAAAAAAAAAGGUUUAAAAGGCAAAGAGUCAUCCUGGUUUCCGGCUUUAUUAUUAUUAUUGCGAGUGAGAAAACAUUUGUGACGAGUAGUAAAUAUUCUAUUUUGGAUGUUUCUUCCCCGUACGAUAGAGAACGCGAUAAGCGAGUAUCCAAUGGGAAAGAAGAUUAGCGUCAGUCAGCCUUUGUCAAAACUCACCUUUAAUCGAUUGUAUGGGCGGUAUGAGAGAGUGUGGGCAGUGGUCGGUCCACCCCAGCGCCCUCGUGCUCUAUAUAGAGGUGUCCCGUCUGUUGAGGCACAGACGAGUCGACGAUGUGGACCGCUUUAGGAAUACUGCUGCUUUCUGUCUGCCGAAUGACGGGUAAGUCUCUAAAAUCGCACGUGAUAAAGCUACUUAUUCUUCUCCUUCGCUUCCGUCGUCUUCUCUACUUUCGUUCGACCUCCCCGAUCGUUUUGUUUUUUGUUUUUUUAUUUCUAUUUUUAUUGUUUUCGAAGGUUCCUUUUGUGUUGUAAGUCGGUCGAAGGAAAACGUAUAGAGAGAGAGAGAGAGAUACAAACACACUAUAGGUUGAAAUAAUUCGGUCAAUAGGAAGGACUCAUUGACCUGAUUCGAAUAAUCUUCGAAUUAUCGAUAGAUACGCAUUUCUAAUUUUGUAACGUAAAAAAAAAAUCGCUGUCGACUGGGUUUGAAUUUAAAGAAAACAAAAAAAAAAAAAAACCAAGACGGAAUGACGCAUAAGGUUAAUAUUUUGUCGAGAAGGGCGACCGGAUGCGACGUUUGC